rnacentral:lncRNA from 1 species
UUAUAUUUUAAUUAUUUACAAAGAUUGAUAUUACUGUCUUCUUUUCUUUUCUAUUUUUGAACUAUAUAUCACUCGUAAAAACUUCAUCUUACACAAAAAAAGAAAAAAAGGUGAUACAUACGAAUCUAAAGACCUGACUGCUUGAGAAUACCUCUCUUCCUGGCAUCAAAGGGAUUGAAAAGAAUGAAAAUUGCGCUGACCAACGUAUAAGCAGGAUUGUUAAAUUUACUGCACUAGGUUAUUAAAAGGCCAUACCUCUUCUUCAGAUACUUUGUUUAACCACUCGUCUUGCUGAUUCCAUUUGCGUACAAUAACC